UCGAGUCCCAAUGAUCCAUCGAUCAUCUCCUCACACUGCCUACGGUUUCUUGGAGCGAGUUCUCUGAUGCUCGAUCGAUCGGACCCUAGCUGGGGAUUGAUGUAUCGGUCUUUCCGGGUCCGAUUUCGCUGAAGGAAGAUCGAAUUGAAUUGGAGGUCUCUGUCUUGACUGAAUUUUGAUCGGACGGAAGUGGCACGCUUUCGGGACCGGAGGUUGGUCGAUUGAGGCGACGGUGGGCUAAAAUUUUGGUCUUCUGGUGGUUGGAUUGUGGGGUUUUGGAUCAAUGGAUUUGGUGCCGAGUUUCAGGGAUAAAUUAGCGUGCUUCAGAAUUAAGGAGCUUAAAGAUGUCCUGACUCAACUGGGUCUAGGAAAGCAAGGGAAAAAACAGGAUCUUAUUGAUAGGAUUUUGGCAUUAUUGUCAGAUGAACAAGGUACCGAUGUUUUGUGACUUUUCUUUUCCUAUAAUAUCUGAGAUCUCAUUCUGAUUAAUUUUUUCCUUGGUGAAAUUGCAUUUGUCUGCAGAUUUCAAUUAUUGAUAUAUAUCUUCUUUUGGUGAUUUUGUUCUAUAAUUCUUUUAUUUUUCUUUUGCACAAUUAUAAGUUCUUUGUUGUUUGUUGAACAUAAUAUUCGAUUCUAUUCAAUUCUUCUGCUGGUUGGUGUUGCUGCUGCUGCUAUUUAAUCUUUUCUAAUGCGAGGUAGUUUUAUUCAGAUGUGUUUAUGUUCAUUGAUCAUAUAGUAUUAAUUUUGGCUCAUUGUGAUAUAUUGUUUUUAAUCCCUAUCAUCUGUAGGUAAUUGUUGUGUUAUGUUUUUCUCUGUAUCCUUUUUGUUCUUGUAUCUUUGCUGUUUCAGUUAAAGCUAUAUAUGUUUUCUUUGUUAGAUGUUAUCUUUUACAGAAUCAUGGAGCAUCCCAUAAAAAAAAGUGUUCUGAACAACCUUCAUGCAAUAGUACAUAUUGAUUUGAAGCAUGGAUAUAGACAUCUAUGUGCAUGCACAUCGGUCUUAUUGUUUGCAUUUUAGCACAUCAGCUUUCAUGCUUUCCUAAGUAAUAGUAGUUAGAGGAAAAUAUCACAGAGUAAUGACUGAUUCAUGUAUGCCUCUCUCUGUACACCACUAAGGCAAGCCACGAGAGAAAAAAAUGAGUUCUUUACCCAAAUAAUAUUAAUUUUUUUUUACAAAACUAAUGCACCUUUCAAUUUAUUUACAAGAAUGAUGCAAAACCAUAAAACGCCAUUUCAAAUAGCGUUUAUUUGAUAGAAAACGCCAUUCCAACUGAUGUUUUUUCGCACGUUCCCAUCCCCCGUGGAAUCAAAAAUCAAACUUCGCUACACGUCAUCUCCUCCCCAUCUUUGGUGGAAUGAAAAUUCAAAAAAAAAAAUCAAAAGCGCCAUUUCAAAUGGCGUUUUCAAACCCCUCAUGUUAAUUUUAAAACAAAUUACGAAAAUAAUCCACCACCAUCCCUGUUAAAUUUAAUUUUUUACUAAUUUAUUAUUAAUUUUAAAAUAAUUUAUGAAAAUAAUGUUCAAAUUUUUACUAAUUUAUUGUUAAUUUUAAAAUAAUUUAUUGUUAAUUUUAAAAUAAUUUACGAAAAUAAUGUUCUUAAAUGCCCUCACGCCAUAUGCGAGUGCUGAAUCACCCAAGAAAAUUGGAUCACCCAAAAAAAUCAUGGUGUGGAAGGAGAGUCGCCAUAUCAAAGGGCGACUCAUAAAGCCUUAUGAACCUCCUCCCAUCUCUUAUCCUCCGAUCGGAUCCGGUCGUCCUCCGAUCUGAUCCUCUCAGUUCUCAUCCUCUAGUCGGAUCCGGAUCCUCCCAGCUCUCAUUCUCCU